GGAUAAACGCUGGCGGCGUGCUUAACACAUGCAAGUCGAACGAUGAUCCGGUGCUUGCACCGGGGAUUAGUGGCGAACGGGUGAGUAACACGUGAGUAACCUGCCCUUAACUCUGGGAUAAGCCUGGGAAACUGGGUCUAAUACCGGAUAUGACUCCUCAUCGCAUGGUGGGGGGUGGAAAGCUUUUUGUGGUUUUGGAUGGACUCGCGGCCUAUCAGCUUGUUGGUGAGGUAAUGGCUCACCAAGGCGACGACGGGUAGCCGGCCUGAGAGGGUGACCGGCCACACUGGGACUGAGACACGGCCCAGACUCCUACGGGAGGCAGCAGUGGGGAAUAUUGCACAAUGGGCGAAAGCCUGAUGCAGCGACGCCGCGUGAGGGAUGACGGCCUUCGGGUUGUAAACCUCUUUCAGUAGGGAAGAAGCGAAAGUGACGGUACCUGCAGAAGAAGCGCCGGCUAACUACGUGC
rnacentral:rRNA from 1 species